GCUUCUGAUGACGCGACGCGACGCGACGCGGCGGCUCUGGUCUCUUCCCACUGCGCAGGAAGCGAGACGCGCAGAAGCACCAGAAGUUAAACGCAAAGGUAACGCGGCACACGCAACAGCAAGCAGCCGUUUUUUUUUUUUUUACUGUAACCGCUCGGAGUUUCCCGCGAAUGCAAGAGGAACCGUCUCGAGCAGAAUAAAUGUAUCUUUGUCUCUUUUUUGGAGGGCUUGUACACUGACGAUCGCCUCAUCUCCUACCCCCUUUUGAAGCCCCCUCUGGUAUUGCUGAGUUGACAGAACUGCAGGA
rnacentral:lncRNA from 1 species